AAAGAAAACAUAUCUUGAAUUUGAUUAGCACUAAAUGUGUUGAUAAUAUUAUCACUAAUGUCGCUGAGAAAGUUCCACGAUGUGCAUGUCAAAUGAAU